CAUCUUAGUGGCGGACGGGUGAGUAACGCGUGGGGAACCUGCCGUUACACUGGGGGAUAACACUUAGAAAUAGGUGCUAAUACCGCAUAACAGGAGAAGACGCAUGUCUUUUCCUUGAAAACUCCGGUGGUGUAAGAUGGACCCGCGUCUGAUUAGCUGGUUGGCGGGGUAACGGCCCACCAAGGCGACGAUCAGUAGCCGGCCUGAGAGGGUGAACGGCCACAUUGGGACUGAGACACGGCCCAAACUCCUACGGAAGGCAGCAG
rnacentral:rRNA from 1 species